rnacentral:rRNA from 11 species
AUUCCCUGCCUAAAUGUCUUAAAGGUACCAGAUCCUGUCUGAUCUUGGACACUAAGCAGGACCAUCUCUGGUUAGAACUUGGGUGGGAGGCCAACAAUUAAUAUCAUAUGCUGUGGGAUA